CGGGAAGACCACGCCCACACAGGGAGGGGAGCAGGAGGCGGGGCCGCAGAGAGACGAGAGCGGAUUGGAGCCUUGUCACCUGACCAGGCCUUGAAGCGCCCCCGCGCCAUUUUUGGUGCUGGUACCUCAGCCACGCCUCGCUCUUUCUCCAGGAUUCCGGAAAAUGAGGGCUCCGCAGAGUUUACACGCAUUCCCGUUAAGGGGCCAUCCGAUUAGUGGUCGUUCCCACCGAGGUUUAAGCCCCUCGCCUGGUAACCCACCAGGAAGUUUCCGCCACCGCCCCCCCAGCUUACAUGGACUUCUUUGUCUUAGGAAAGAAGAAAUGAGGAAACUGGCAUGAAGGAAGAUGGAUUUGGCUUCAGCCGGAUGAAACAAGUACCAAAAAGCAUCACCCAGGCAAGCACUGAAAAGGGUGAGUAGCUAUGUGCACAUGCGUGCAGGCACCCACAGAGACUAAAGGCAUCCCUCUGGAGCUGGAGCUGCAGGCCGUUGUGAGCACCCCGAUGUGGGUGCUGGGAACUAACGUCGGGUCUUCUGUCAGAACGAGAACCCUCCAUCGACUCCCCACGAAUUCUUUCAAACACCAAGACAGAAAUGAUGGGUCUCUGACACCAGCACCCAAGGAGGGAAGGAUCUGCUUUGGCUCUCGGUGGGGAUACAGCCCAGGAGCUUCAGGCUGCUGGUCACAUUGUAUGCAUGGUGAAGAAGAAGAGAGUGAUGGAGAGAUGGCUCAGCGGUUAGGGCUGCUCUUCUAGAAGACCAAUUUGAUUCCUGCUCACAACUGGCCAUAACUCCAGCCCCAGGGCAUCCAACACUCUUUGGUGGCCUCUGUGGUCACCUGCACACAUGGGGCAUACACCCACACAGAUACACGCACAAAAAUAAAAAUAAUAAAUUUUUAAUGCUAAUGCUCCA